AGCCGGAGCGCUCGGCGUCGGGACCCGAAAGGUGGUGAUCUAUCCGUGCGCGCGGCGAACGCCGGGGGAAACCCCGGUGGAGCCCGUCGACGGUACUGACGUGCAAAUCGUUCGUCCGACGUGCGAAUAGGGGCGAAAGACCAAUCGAACCUCCUAGUAGCUGGUUUCCGCCGAAAUUUCCCUCAGGAUAGCGGCCAUCGCGGAAACGUUUUGACCGGUAGAGCGAACGACUAGAGGUACCGGGGCCGUAACGGCCUCGACCUAUUCUCGAACUCCGAACGGGCAAGGAGCCGGGGUCGCCCGAUCGGACCCCGGACGUGAAGUCGACGAUGGUCGGUGGGCUGGUUUUUGGUAAGCAGAACGGGCGAUUCGGGAUGAACCGGAAGCGGGGAGAAAGGGCCCGAGAUUGCGUCGACGCGGAUCCCGAAAAGGGGCGUCGAUCCGUCGCGACAGCGGGACGGUGGUCAUGGA
rnacentral:rRNA from 1 species